rfam:Heligmosomoides polygyrus genome assembly, scaffold: HPBE_scaffold0012526
GCGCCGGUGGUGUAAAGGCGCAGAGCAUUCCCGCCCGGUCAGAGGGAGGUGCGGGUUCGAGUCCCGCCUGGCGCU